UACGUAGGGGGCAAGCGUUGUCCGGAAUUACUGGGCGUAAAGGGCGCGUAGGCGGCCUUCUAAGUCGAACGUGAAAUCCCUGGGCUCAACCCAGGAACUGCGUCCGAUACUGGAAGGCUUGAAUCCGGGAGAGGGAUGCGGAAUUCCAGGUGUAGCGGUGAAAUGCGUAGAUAUCUGGAGGAACACCGGUGGCGAAGGCGGCAUCCUGGAUCGGUAUUGACGCUGAGGCGCGAAAGCCAGGGGAGCAAACGGG
rnacentral:rRNA from 1 species